CCUACGGGUGGCAGCAGUGGGGGAUAUUGCACAAUGGGGGAAACUCUGAUGCAGCGACGUCGCGUGUGGGAAGACGGCCUUCUGGAUUGUAAACCACUGUCCCCAGGGAAGAAAAUGACGGUACCUGGGGAGGAAGCUCCGGCUAACUACGUGCCAGCAGCCGCGGUAAUAGGUAGGGAGCACGCGUUGUCCGGAAUUACUGGGUGAAAGGGGAGCGUAGGCGGGGAUGCAAGUUGGGUGUCAAAACUACCGGCUCAACCGAUAGUCGCACUCAAAACUGCAGGUCUUGAGUGAAGUAGAGGCUGGCGGAAUUCCUAGUGUAGCGGUGAAAUGCGUAGAUAUUAGGAGGAACACCAGUGGCGAAGGCGGCCUGCUGGGCUUUUACUGACGCUGAGGCUCGAAAGUGUGGGGAGCAAACAGGAUUAGAUACCCCGGUAGUC
rnacentral:rRNA from 1 species